AGAAUAAUAAAAAUCUGCCAAAUCAAAAAUAUCAUUGAUGGGAAAAAAUUGUCAUCACGAGAAAUUAAAUGUCCAAGAAAUAUGUGAGCUAUAUUGGACAUGCGUCCUAAGUGUUAGUACUGAUUUUCUUGCAAAAGAAAACUAGCCUUCCUGCAAAUAAGAACGAAGAAAGGUCUGAAACCUGAUAAUGUAGUAUUAUAUUAAACAGUCA
rnacentral:misc_RNA from 1 species